GACGAACGCUGGCGGCGUGCUUAACACAUGCAAGUCGAACGGUGAUCUUGGGAGCUUGCUCCUGGGUGAUCAGUGGCGAACGGGUGAGUAACACGUGAGUAACCUGCCCCUGACUCUGGAAUAACUUCGGGAAACCGAAGCUAAUACCGGAUAUGACACAGAGCCGCAUGGUUUCUGUGUGGAAAGUUUUUCGGUUGGGGAUGGACUCGCGGCCUAUCAGCUUGUUGGUGAGGUAAUGGCUCACCAGGGCGACGACGGGUAGCCGGCCUGAGAGGGCGACCGGCCACACUGGGACUGAGACACGGCCCAGACUCCUACGGGAGGCAGCAGUGGGGAAUAUUGCACAAUGGGCGAAAGCCUGAUGCAGCGACGCCGCGUGAGGGAUGAAGGCCUUCGGGUUGUAAACCUCUUUCAGUAGGGAAGAAGCGCAAGUGACGGUACCUACAGAAGAAGCACCGGCUAACUACGUGCCAGCCGCCGCCGUAACAC
rnacentral:rRNA from 1 species